AUUGAACGCUGGCGGCAUGCCUUACACAUGCAAGUCGAACGGCAGCACGGGUGCUUGCACCUGGUGGCGAGUGGCGAACGGGUGAGUAAUAUAUCGGAACGUACCUUAUUGUGGGGGAUAACGCAGCGAAAGCUGUGCUAAUACCGCAUAAUCCCUAAGGGGGAAAGCGGGGGACCGUAAGGCCUCGCGCAAUUAGAGCGGCCGAUACCUGAUUAGCUAGUUGGUGAGGUAAAGGCUCACCAAGGCAACGAUCAGUAGCUGGUCUGAGAGGACGAUCAGCCACACUGGGACUGAGACACGGCCCAGACUCCUACGGGAGGCAGCAGUGGGGAAUUUUGGACAAUGGGGGGCAACCCUGAUCCAGCAAUGCCGCGUGAGUGAAGAAGGCCUCGGUGUAAG
rnacentral:rRNA from 1 species